rnacentral:tRNA from 1 species
CAGGGAGACAACAAAAUGUUAAAUAUUAAUUUUGUCACCUUAGGUCGAUCGGUACCUCACAUCCUUAGUUAAUUAAGGAUUUUAUUUCCUAAGUUUUUUCUAGGUCACACCCAUUACUUUUUCCUGGGCCAUUAGCUCAGGUGGUUAGAGCGCACCCCUGAUAAGGGUGAGGUCCCUGGUUCAAGUCCAGGAUGGCCCAUAUCUCUAUGUUGGGGGUAUAGCUCAGUUGGUAGAGCGCCUGCUUUGCAAGCAGGAUGUCAGCGGUUCGAGUCCGCUUACCUCCACUGAUCACCACCUCUUCAUAAUUUAUAGAAGGGAAUUGUUUUGAGUUGUGAUCAAAUUCUGAACGAAUCUAGCUUCCUAAUAAAACUUAUUAAGAUGCUGGACUCAUUGAAUUAAUUUCAUUGUUUUCAGAGAACCUUGACAACUGCAUAGAUUAUUUUUAAAGACAAUAAGCAUCUUUAAUGAUGCAGAUUUAUUAUUUGUGCGAAUGCAUUAAAUAACAAUUCUAUUAAGCUGAUGCUUCAA